GUUUUUUUUUUCUCGACAGUGCAAUCGCUCUGGCAGCUGCUUAGGUGGCUCCAAACUGGUCAGUUCGACCUCUCCUGCUUCAUCUUCGAGAAGUCUUUAAGUCAUUCGGUGGCUUUUUUUCCCGACAGUAUCAUGACUUAGGGUGAUGCAGUGCAAGAUAUGCAGAUUUGAACACCCUGCCCAGGAGGUCCUUUUGAAACAUGACCAAUUGUGCGACUACCAGGGAAGAUAUUGCCAACUACCCUGCCUCUACACAGAUUGCAU